rnacentral:rRNA from 1 species
UACGUAGAAGACAAGUGUUAUUCAUCUUUAACAGGUUUAAAGGGUACCUAGACGGAAAAUCAAGCCAUAGUAGGGACUAAUUUUCUAGAGUUUUAUGUGUGAAGAUCGAAUUACCUGAAGAGCAAUAAAAUGCAUUGACACAGGGAAGACGGGUAGCGGCGAAGGCAAUCUUCUAUGUAGAAACUGACGUUGAGGGACGAAGCCUUGGGGAGCGAGAAGGAUUAGAUACCC